CAUCUUGGCUAUUGUGAAUAGUGCUGUAAUGAAUAUGCGGGUGCAUGUCUUUUUCCAGGAAAGUUUUGUCUGGAUAUAUACCCAAGAGUGGAAUUGCUGGGUCAUAUGAUAGUUCUAUGUAUAGUUUUCUAAGGUCGAAUUUAUAAGUGAAUUUGUUGAAAAUUAGUAUACUAGUUUAAUAAUUUUGGUUAAAAAUUGUACUUAUGUCUUUUCCUUGAUUUUUGUCAUUAUGAAAUACUAGAUAAGUACACAUUUUAUUCUUUUUAAAAGUAGAUUAGUGUUCAUUUUUUCAUAAAUAGGCUAGUUCAUUUGAUUUCCUUGACUACUAUACUGAUAAAAUAAAUUAAGUAAUCCUACAUAACUUUUAAAACUAUAAAAAAUAUAAAGUUGUGUCCAACUAAAUUGAAUAAUUCUGAAAAAUUUUUAAAACAAGUAAUUACAUUUUCUGUGUAUCAGUUUGAGCAUUAUUUCCUUAAAUAUCUUAAAAUCUUUUCAUGGUAUUAAAUUGAAUUAAUUAACAGCUAAUUAUUUACCUAUAUAGUUUCUAAGUAAUGUUUCUGAAUAUACAAACACUGGUUGAUUAUCAUAAUAAUGUUUACAUAUGUUUGUUCCUUUUUAAAUAUAUCAUGUUUGUAAAAUGAUGUUUGUCCCACUAGAAAAUUUUGAGCUUUGCUAGUAUUCUAAAGUGUUUGGUGCAAAAGUUCUUCACUAUUAUUCUGUUAGUUUUUUGUGAAAUAUUAGUUAAUUUUUUUAAAAAUUAUAAUUAAUGUGGGUGCUCAAGACUAAGAGCACCAUCGAUAACAUCACAACCUUAUUUUCAGGCAAGUGGAUGAGAUUUGGUUUUUCAGGGAAUCAAAGAGUGGGUUUUUCCUAAAUAAAGCAUUAAUUUGUUCUAGAAUAUGAAAGAUGAUAGUGAAGGAUAAAUUUUAUCUAUUUGGUCCAAGUUUUAAAGGACACGAAGGAAGGGAAUUGAAUUUUCUUUGGUUUAGUAACAGAUUCCAUGUCUCACUAGAAUAAUUAUUUUCCUUUAAAUUGACUUUGAAGUGUUUUGAUUAUUUUAAAAAAUGGUUCCUUGAUUCUAAAAGAGCUAAUAUUUCUCACAGCUGUAUAAUGUUUUAUUUUUAAAUAAUGCUUAGAUACAAUAAGUCACCAGUUUUGAUGUUUUAUUUUUAAAUAAUGCUUAGAUACAAUAAGUAACCAGUUUUGAUCCCAUUUCAGUUAGUUAACUAAAUUAUCAAAACCAGAUAUCUGGGUGUCCUCAAAUAAAAGAGACAAAGGUAGAACUUUUCCAAGCUAGCAAUAAAUUAAAUCUACCUCCACAUAAAAUAUUGCUAACAUUUAAUAUGUUGUGAUCGUAUGUGUUUUAGAAAGGCCAUGGGAGAUUUGUCAGUGAACUUGAUGCCCACACUUUUUACCCUAAGAGAAAUUAUUGAUCAAACCUUUAUGAAAUAGUCACAUCAUACCAUACCAAUAAAGUAUUCUAUCAUGCAACCCUAGGUCAGUGGUGGGGGAGGAUCCUGGGGAGAACUAGAGGGAGGACAGGCAAGAAGGGCUUUUCAGGGUUUUUGAAGACAACUGGUAUUGUCACUUGGGUCAUAAUCAAGAUAUAAAUUUUUUAUUCUUUAAAUGCAAUUCACCAAGCAAUUUAGUCUCCAUUUCAAUGGCGAUAACAAUAUUGGAAUAAACUCUCACUGUUAUAUUAGAGUACUGAAAAUUUCAACCUGGAAGAGCCUGCUUUGGGGAGGGCUGGUGAGGAGUUAUUUUGGAAGCUGAUGAAGAAAGUGGAUUCAGUUGCAAGGAGCCACCCUCAUUUCUGUUCUUAAAAUCUAUAGUUUUUCCAAUUAAAAUAUGUAGAAAACAUUUUUUUUCUGGCCUUAUUGGUUCUUUGUAGUGGGAUAAAAGACACCUCACAAGAUAGCUGGUAGAAUACAGAGAUCUGAGGGCUACUGGCUGUGCUGUUAAUAGGCAAAACAGAAUAAGGAGUUGUAGUUCAGUGAUACCACUUUCCAGCACCCACAACUUCAAACACAUCACAGAGAAUAGUUGUGGUGAGUAGUCACGUUCUUAAUGGUGCUUUUGGCUCUAAAAUAAGAAGUCCUGCCAGAGGCUUUAACCUUAAGUUUCACUGGGUGUCUCUAGAUGUCAUGUAUACUUUUCUAAUUUGUUACUUGGCACAUGGAAGCAAUGGUGUCUUGUUUUUUUAUUUAUUCUGAGACAAAAUAUAUCCUUCUGUUUUCCUAGGAAUAAUAAAAAAAAAAGACAAUUAGAUUCCCAACAUUGUCUGGAAAAUCUAUAUGUAAAUGCCCUGUGACCUCCUGUUGAAGAAGUUUGAGCUAGGAGGCUGAGUAGAUGUCAAUAGACUAAGUGGAUAUAUAUGUAUAGUGGUCAAUUUGAGUUUGCAUGUAAUUCUGGUUAUUUUGUGAUGUAUUUAUUUAAAAACAUCCAUAUUCCAUUAAUUGGAAUUAAUACAUUCUGAAAUAAAAAAGCAUUUUUAAAAGCAAUACAAUUUUGUUUCCCUUAGGAAGAGUAUAAAUCAAAAAUACCUAAUGUUUUUAUAGUACUUAGUCUUUGAAAUUUUGUAUGAAUAGACAAGACUGAAUUAAUAGAGUUUAUAUUUUAUGUAAAUAUAAUCCUGAAUGCUUUAAAUAUAUAUAAAGAUAGAACAUUUUAAAGUCUAUAUUUUCUAUAAAAGUAAAUAUUUUUGAUAAAAUAGGCUAUCCAUUGAUAAAUUAGUCUCGUUUUAUAUGCAUACAACUUAAUAAAUUUUUUUCAGAAUAAGUAUCUUUAAAAGAAAAAUGCCAUCAUAUUAUUUAGUUCAAGAAGGCAGGAUUUUUUCCUUCUGUAAAAUCUAAGAGGGCUAUUCUUACUUUCCCCCCAAAUUUAGAAUAUUUUUUCAGAUUAUAGCAGACAAGUCUGACACAAAAGUUACUAAAUAGACCAAGGGAGAAAGAAUUGUUGCGUUUCACUUUUCCUUUCAUUUAAAUAUUUUUUUUAAACAAAUUUAACUUGCCACACUUGAGAUUGGGUCAGGACAUUGGCUGAGUUGGGAGCAUAGAUACCUAGGAGCUAUAGCAGGCAUUGGCAAAGUACAGCCAGUGUACAACAUUAGUCCACUAUCUCUUUUCAUAUAUAAAGUUUUAUUGAAACACAACCAGCCAUGCUCCUAGUUUAUGCUCUUUUCUAUGACUACUCUCACACCACAAUGGCAAGAUUGAGUAGUUGUGACAAAGAUCGGAUGGCCCACAAAAUCUAAAAUAUUUAAUAUCUGACCUUUAAAGAAAAACUUGCUGGAUCUUAAAUGUACAGCAAUUAUUCAAAGACUUAGGCUAAUGAUUAAAGAGAAAAGGCAGUUUCUAGGACUAUCUGGCCUACAUGCAGAAUUAAAAAACUGGCAAUCAACAAACAAAAAAAUCCCCAGCAAUAUACUUUUUCUCACUGAGUUUGUGUCUUAGAGGAACAGCAUACAAUAUGGCACAAUUACCCAGUAUUUUAUUGAAAUCUGCCCUAAGAUCAAUAAUUGUUUUCUAAGGAAUACAGAAAAGUAUAGUAGUUUUUUUCAACUUCCUGUUAUAAACCUCAGAGAACAUCUUCAGUAGGAUGAUUCACAUUAAAAACAAAACAAAACAAAUCUUAGAAGCAUCUGGGAUGAUUUCAGUGAAAAUGGUGAACCCCUCUAUAAAAAUGCUGAAAAAGAAGAGAAACCUGUCAGAAUCAACUUUGUUGGGAGAAUAGUCAAAGGUUUAAAGCAACCAAGCAGAUGCUGACUUAAGAAAGAGACAAC
rnacentral:lncRNA from 1 species